rnacentral:rRNA from 1 species
GACGAACGCUGGCGGCGUGCCUAAUACAUGCAAGUUGAGCGCUGAAGGUUGGUACUUGUACCAACUGGAUGAGCAGCGAACGGGUGAGUAACGCGUGGGGAAUCUGCCUUUGAGCGGGGGACAACAUUUGGAAACGAAUGCUAAUACCGCAUAAAAACUUUAAACACAAGUUUUAAGUUUGAAAGAUGCAAUUGCAUCACUCAAAGAUGAUCCCGCGUUGUAUUAGCUAGUUGGUGAGGUAAAGGCUCACCAAGGCGAUGAUACAUAGCCGACCUGAGAGGGUGAUCGGCCACAUUGGGACUGAGACACGCCCCAAACUCCUACGGGAGGCAGCAGUAGGGAAUCUUCGGCAAUGGACGAAAGUCUGACCGAGCAACGCCGCGUGAGUGAAGAAGGUUUUCGGAUCGUAAAACUCUGUUGGUAGAGAAGAACGUUGGUGAGAGUGGAAAGCUCAUCAAGUGACGGUAACUACCCAGAAAGGGACGGCUAACUACGUG